GCUACCUGAUUCAGCGGCGGACGGGUGAGUAAUGCCUAGGAAUCUGCCCGAUAGUGGGGGACAACGUUUCGAAAGGAACGCUAAUACCGCAUACGUCCCACGGGAGAAAGUGGGGGAUCUUCGGACCUCACGCUAUCGGAUGAGCCUAGGUCGGAUUAGCUAGUUGGUGAGGUAAUGGCUCACCAAGGCGGCGAUCCGUAACUGGUCUGAGAGGAUGAUCAGUCACACUGGAACUGAGACACGGUCCAGACUCCUACGGGAGGCAGCAGUGGGGAAUAUUGGACAAUGGGCGAAAGCCUGAUCCAGCCAUGCCGCGUGUGUGAAGAAGGUCUUCGGAUUGUAAAGCACUUUAAGUUGGGAGGAAGGGCAGUAAGCUAAUACCUUGCUGUUUUGACGUUACCAACAGAAUAAGCACCGGCUAACUUCGUGCCAGCAGCCGCGGUAAUACGAAGGGUGCAAGCGUUAAUCGGAAUUACUGGGCGUAAAGCGCGCGUAGGUGGUUCAGCAAGUUGGAUGUGAAAUCCCCGGGCUCAACCUGGGAACUGCAUCCAAAACUACUGAGCUAGAGUACGGUAGAGGGUGGUGGAAUUUCCUGUGUAG
rnacentral:rRNA from 1 species